UGUAAAUAAGUGUCAGAGCUCCUCUUCAACAUGUGUGUGAAGUUUCUUGUUCUAAAUCCACUCUGAUCCUGUAUUUGAUCAUGUCUAUAAACCCCUCUAUUUCAGCCCUGCUCAGAACAGGCUGUUUCUGUGUCUGUACCUUUAAAUAUGUAAAUGAGCUGUCUGUGACCACACCCCCUCUCUGGAAGGGCUCGGGUGUCUUGGGCAUUUCAGACAUUUUCUUCACUUCUUUGAGAUUAGGAUAAAAUUAUUUGAAUUAAUUUCUGUUGGAUUUGAAGUCUUGCCUGUUGAGUGUUCACAUAGGUGUGGAUCAUCUCCCUGCAGAAAAGAUCUUUGAGUUUUUGGAUGUUUGAAAAGGAAAACGCGGCUCUGACUGGACGUAUUCAGCCUCAUGUUGUUUCCUGGAUUUCAUCGAUGUUGAUGCUUUAAUGAAUGAUGCACAGUUUUGUAUUUUGAUGUAAAAAAAAAUAAAAAAAAAUAGAAAUACCAUUCUCAUAUUCAGCUCAGUGACGUUCAGCAGCCCCUCAUCAUUUUAAAUAGAAACGUACCUGACAUGUUUUUUAGUUUUCUUUCUCUCUGGUUGCGUACGUUCAGGAGGUCGCCUCGCGGCCGGGACUGUAUCUAUUUUAUUUGCAAUAAACUUUUUGGUGUUUUGAUCACCGUAUAGAGAAGCAUAA